UGCGACCCCAGGUCAGGCGGGACUACCCGUG
rnacentral:rRNA from 1 species